GGGGCAGGGUGUGUCCGGCAGGCGCAGUGGGGAGGAACCGGGAGCUGCUGGGACUAAAUGGCAGCUGGGUGCUCUCGGUGCAGAGAGCCACGGGCCUCGUGGAAGGUUCCAGAAAUUGUGUAACCGCACAACUGUGGGAAGCGAGCCACACCAGGGUCAUCCCUGCAGCUUCCCUGACGAGCCCCCUGGCCUGGGGAGGGGUGUGGUCACUUCCCAAGACAUUGCAUCACAGGAGAGUCUCUGCCACCCGUUAAGCACAGUUUGCUGUCUGUCUUCACAGGAAACGGUGACAGAAGAGAAAGCACGUUGCCUGAAAGCUCAGUGUCCUCGACACCUUUGAAUGGAGACCGAGAUGGGGACUCUUCAGUCCCCGUGACAGGAAACGGAAGCCUGUCUGAAGACAGCUUGGAUGUGGUAUCUAAGGUCCCGCCCUUCACGAGGACCCCGGAGAGCCUGGCGGGUGUCGAUGGCACACAGGCUGCGGCAGGUGAAGGAGGCCGGGCCUCAGACAGGUCGUCACAGCCUGACCCUCGUUUGUCCUCCUGGUCCUGUGGGUCACGCUGAGUUCCGGAUGGAUCUGGAAGGUACCUCUGAACCUAUUGUUACAGAGAGAGCUGCAGAGCCCCAGUGAUGGGGAACCCUCUCCCCCAAGAACCAGAAGCUGGAGAGCUGAGGACACACCCCUGCUGGAUCAGGCGCGAUCUGGGGAAAU